CAAAGUUCUGAUAAUUUAAAUUAAAAUAUUAAUUUUGUAAAUUAAAUAUACCUAAGAGUUCAAAACAU
rnacentral:tRNA from 1 species